rnacentral:rRNA from 1 species
UAGGGAAUCUUCGGCAAUGGACGAAAGUCUGACCGAGCAACGCCGCGCGAGUGAAGAAGGUUUUCGGAUCGUAAAACUCUGUUGUUAGAGAAGAACAAGGACGUUAGUAACUGAACGUCCCCUGACGGUAUCUAACCAGAAAGCCACGGCUAACUACGUGCCAGCAGCCGCGGUAAUACGUAGGUGGCAAGCGUUGUCCGGAUUUAUUGGGCGUAAAGCGAGCGCAGGCGGUUUCUUAAGUCUGAUGUGAAAGCCCCCGGCUCAACCGGGGAGGGUCAUUGGAAACUGGGAGACUUGGGUGCAGAAGAGGAGAGUGGAAUUCCAUGUGUAGCGGUGAAAUGCGUAGAUAUAUGGAGGAACACCAGUGGCGAAGGCGGCUCUCUGGUCUGUAACUGACGCUGAGGCUCGAAAGCGUGGGGAGCAAACAGG